AACAGGAUUAGAUACCCUGGUAGUCCACGCCCUAAACGAUGUCUACUAGUUGUCGGGACUUAAUUGUCUUGGUAACGCAGCUAACGCGUGAAGUAGACCGCCUGGGGAGUACGGUCGCAAGAUUAAAACUCAAAGGAAUUGACGGGGACCCGCACAAGCGGUGGAUGAUGUGGAUUAAUUCGAUGCAACGCGAAAAACCUUACCUACCCUUGACAUGGUUGGAAUCCCGAAGAGAUUUGGGAGUGCUCGCAAGAGAACCAAUACACAGGUGCUGCAUGGCUGUCGUCAGCUCGUGUCGUGAGAUGUUGGGUUAAGUCCCGCAACGAGCGCAACCCUUGUCAUUAGUUGCUACAUUAAGUUGAGCACUCUAAUGAGACUGCCGGUGACAAACCGGAGGAAGGUGGGGAUGACGUCAAGUCCUCAUGGCCCUUAUGGGUAGGGCUUCACACGUCAUACAAUGGUACAUACAGAGGGCUGCCAAACCGCGAGGUGGAGCUAAUCCCAGAAAGUGUAUCGUAGUCCGGAUUGUAGUCUGCAACUCGACUACAUGAAGUUGGAAUCGCUAGUAAUCGCGGAUCAGCAUGUCGCGGUGAAUGCGUUCCCGGGUCUUGUACACACCGCCCGUCACACCAUGGGAGCGGGUUUCGCCAGAAGUAGGUAGCUUAACCGUAAGGAGGGCGCUUACCACGGCGGGGUUCGUGACUGGGGUGAAGUCGUAACAAGGUAACC
rnacentral:rRNA from 1 species